GAAAUGCGAUAAGUAAUGUGAAUUGCAGAAUUCAGUGAAUCAUCGAAUCUUUGAACGCACCUUGCGCUCCUUGGUAUUCCUUGGAGCAUGCCUGUUUGAGUAUCAUGAAAUCUUCAAAGUAAAUCUUUUGUUAACUCAAUUGGUUUCUACUUUGGUAUUGGAGGUCUUUGCAGCUUCACACCUGCUCCUCUUUGUUCAUUAGCUGGAUCUCAGUGUUAUGCUUGGUUCCACUCGGCGUGAUAAGUUAUCUAUCGCUGAGGACACUGUAAAAGGUGGCCAAGGUAAUGCAGAUGAACCGCUUCUAAUAGUCCAUUGACUUGGACAAUACUUUUAUGAUCUGAUCUCAAAUCAGGUAGUACUACCCGCUGAACUUAAGC
rnacentral:misc_RNA from 1 species